GACGAACGCUGGCGGCGUGCCUAAUACAUGCAAGUAGAACGCACAGUUUAUACCGUAGCUUGCUCCACCAUAGACUGUGAGUUGCGAACGGGUGAGUAACGCGUAGGUAACCUGCCUGGUAGCGGGGGAUAACUAUUGGAAACGAUAGCUAAUACCGCAUAAUAUUGAUUAUUGCAUGAUAAUUAAUUGAAAGGUGCAAUUGCACCACUACCAGAUGGACCUGCGUUGUAUUAGCUAGUAGGUGAGGUAACGGCUCACCUAGGCGACGAUACAUAGCCGACCUGAGAGGGUGAUCGGCCACACUGGGACUGAGACACGGCCCAGACUCCUACGGGAGGCAGCAGUAGGGAAUCUUCGGCAAUGGACGAAAGUCUGACCGAGCAACGCCGCGUGAGUGAAGAAGGGUUUCGGAUCGUAAAGCUCUGUUGUAAGAGAAGAACGGGUGUGAGAGUGGAAAGUUCACACUGUGACGGUAUCUUACCAGAAAGGGACGGCUAACUACGUG
rnacentral:rRNA from 1 species